rnacentral:rRNA from 1 species
GCCCAAGAGACUGGGAUAACACCUGGAAACAGAUGCUAAUACCGGAUAACAACACUAGACGCAUGUCUAGAGUUUAAAAGAUGGUUCUGCUAUCACUCUUGGAUGGACCUGCGGUGCAUUAGCUAGUUGGUAAGGUAACGGCUUACCAAGGCAAUGAUGCAUAGCCGAGUUGAGAGACUGAUCGGCCACAUUGGGACUGAGACACGGCCCAAACUCCUACGGGAGGCAGCAGUAGGGAAUCUUCCACAAUGGACGCAAGUCUGAUGGAGCAACGCCGCGUGAGUGAAGAAGGGUUUCGGCUCGUAAAGCUCUGUUGGUAGUGAAGAAAGAUAGAGGUAGUAACUGGCCUUUAUUUGACGGUAAUUACUUAGAAAGUCACGGCUAACUACGUGCCAGCAGCCGCGGUAAUACGUAGGUGGCAAGCGUUGUCCGGAUUUAUUGGGCGUAAAGCGAGUGCAGGCGGUUCAAUAAGUCUGAUGUGAAGCCUUCGGCUCAACCGGAGAAUUGCAUCAGAAACUGUUGAACUUGAGUGCAGAAGAGGAGAGUGGAACUCCAUGUGUAGCGGUGGAAUGCGUAGAUAUAUGGAAGAACACCAGUGGCGAAGGCGGCUCUCUGGUCUGCAACUGACGCUGAGGCUCGAAAG